UACGGAGGAUGCGAGCGUUAUCCGGAUUUAUUGGGUUUAAAGGGUGCGUAGGCGGCCGAGUAAGUCAGCGGUGAAAUUUUGCAGCUUAACUGUAACAGUGCCGUUGAUACUGCAUGGCUAGGAUUUGGUUGCUGUGGGUGGAAUGUGUGGUGUAGCAGUGAAAUGCUUAGAUAUCACACAGAAUAUCGAUUGCGAAGGCAGCUUACUAAUCCAUCAUUGACGCUGAGGCACGAAAGCGUGGGGAUCAAA
rnacentral:rRNA from 1 species